rnacentral:rRNA from 1 species
GUGUCGUAGUCCGGAUUGGAGUCUGCAACUCGACUCCAUGAAGUCGGAAUCGCUAGUAAUCGUGGAUCAGAAUGCCACGGUGAAUACGUUCCCGGGCCUUGUACACACCGCCCGUCACACCAUGGGAGUGGGUUGCAAAAGAAGUAGGUAGCUUAACCUUCGGGAGGGCGCUUACCACUUUGUGAUUCAUGACUGGGGUGAAGUCGUAACAAGGUAACCGUAGGGGAACCUGCGGUUGGAUCACCUCCUUA